rnacentral:rRNA from 1 species
AGUGAACGCUGGCGGUAGGCCUAACACAUGCAAGUCGAACGGCAGCACAGUAAGAGCUUGCUCUUACGGGUGGCGAGUGGCGGACGGGUGAGGAAUACAUCGGAAUCUACUUUUUCGUGGGGGAUAACGUAGGGAAACUUACGCUAAUACCGCAUACGACCUACGGGUGAAAGCAGGGGAUCUUCGGACCUUGCGCGAUUGAAUGAGCCGAUGUCGGAUUAGCUAGUUGGCGGGGUAAAGGCCCACAAAGGCGACGAUCCGUAGCUGGUCUGAGAGGAUGAUCAGCCACACUGUAACUGAGACACGGUCCAGACUCCUACGGGAGGCAGCAGUGGGGAAUAUUGGACAAUGGGCGCAAGCCUGAUCCAGCCAAACCGCGUGGGUGAAGAAGGCCUUCGGGUUGUAAAGCCCUUUUGUUGGGAAAGAAAAGCAGCAGGUUAAUACCCCGCUGUUCUGACGGUACCCAAAGAAUAAGCACCGGCUAACUUCGUG